UACAGAGACUGCAAGCGUUAUUCGGAUUCACUGGGCGUAAAGGGCGCGUAGGCGGCGCGGUAAGUCACUUGUGAAAUCUCUGAGCUUAACUCAGAACGGCCAAGUGAUACUGCAGUGCUAGAGUGCAGAAAGGGCAAUCGGAAUUCUUGGUGUAGCGGUGAAAUGCGUAGAUAUCAAGAGGAACACCUGAGGCGAAGGCGGGUUGCUAGGCUGACACUGACGCUGAGUGCGCGAAAGCCAGGGGAGCAAACGGG
rnacentral:rRNA from 1 species